rnacentral:misc_RNA from 1 species
ACAAACUUGGUCAUUUAGAGGAAGUAAAAGUCGUAACAAGGUCUCCGUAGGUGAACCUGCGGAGGGAUCAUUAAUGACCCCGCGCCCCAGGGCGCCCCCACAACCCACCGCCAUCGCCACGCUCGUUGCUUCGGCGGGCCGCCGCGCCCGCCGGAGGCCCCCCAGACCCGAUCGUCAGCGUCGUCAGAGACCUAUCGAACAGUCAAAACUUUCAACAACGGAUCUCUUGGUUCCGGCAUCGAUGAAGAACGCAGC